rnacentral:piRNA from 1 species
UAAUUGGUUGAAUAGCAGUGGUGUUAGGGUC